GGCUGGUCCGAAGGUAGUGAGUUAUGUCUUGUUCACAGUCAGUUACAGAUCAGACUCCUUGUUCUACUCUAUCCCCCCUUCUCACCAAUGCACUCUACAGGUCUUGA
ensembl:misc_RNA Y_RNA Y RNA